GACGAAUGCUGGCGGCGUGCCUAAUACAUGCAAGUAGAACGCUGAAGGAGGAGCUUGCUUCUCUGGAUGAGUUGCGAACGGGUGAGUAACGCGUAGGUAACCUGCCUGGUAGCGGGGGAUAACUAUUGGAAACGAUAGCUAAUACCGCAUAAUAGUAGAUGUUGCAUGACAUUUGCUUAAAAGGUGCAAUUGCAUCACUACCAGAUGGACCUGCGUUGUAUUAGCUAGUUGGUGAGGUAACGGCUCACCAAGGCAACGAUACAUAGCCGACCUGAGAGGGUGAUCGGCCACACUGGGACUGAGACACGGCCCAGACUCCUACGGGAGGCAGCAGUAGGGAAUCUUCGGCAAUGGACGGAAGUCUGACCGAGCAACGCCGCGUGAGUGAAGAAGGUUUUCGGAUCGUAAAGCUCUGUUGUAAGAGAAGAACGAGUGUGAGAGUGGAAAGUUCACACUGUGACGGUAUCUUACCAGAAAGGGACGGCUAACUACGUG
rnacentral:rRNA from 1 species